GUGGUGGCUCCUGUGUUAUUUCAGGUGGAGGAAUAGGAGGAGGUGGUGGAGGAGGAGUUGGAAUUUCAGGGUGUGGUGGUGGAUUUUCCCACUCCUACUCUUCAUCUUCCCACGGCAUCUCCUCAUCUUCUUAAUCCCAGCCUUGCAAGAGCGGUGGAGAAAGCCAUGGGUAUGGAAGAAAAUCCUAACCAGAGAUACCAAUGAUCCUCCAGCUCAGCAUUGUUCAGAGAGAAAGUUAAAGUGUGUUGUCUAUAUUGUCUGCAUGCCUGAACAAAGAACAAGGAGAAAAGCUCCUAACAGUUACUUAGGACUGCUUCUGCAAUCUGUCCCUAGGAACCCAUCACAGCUGUUGAGACAGGCCACCUUCCUGCCUAUCAGACUCUAUGCCGUUUCCAUCUGCAAUGCUGUAUGGGUUCAAUCAUUGAUAUUUGAGUUAAACUGUACCAUGCACAAUAAUCUACCUUUUGGUGAAUAAAUUCUCUAAUAAACCUUUAUUUCUGUCUAAUGCAACCAGGAA